rnacentral:tRNA from 1 species
GCAGGGCUGUGGCUCAGUGGAAGAGCUUCUGCUUUGCCUGCAGAAGGUCCCAGGUUUAAUCUUUGGCAUCUGCA